CACCAAAAUACUAUUCUAUUAAGAGCCCCCUAUUUCUAAUUUUGAGAGCGCCCUAGGCGUUUAUUAUGUCGAAUACGGUAUUCAUACUAAUUGCCAAUCUCUAUAAUGUUGAUUGUAUUAACCAUGCAGUGUCUACAUCCAGUUUGCAUUGACAAUAAUCAUAUGAUUGUGACAGAUAAAGCUGAUUCUUAACUUCAUUAGGCCUUGCUUUUUAUGUUUCCUUGUUCUAAACUGAUGUUUCAAAUUCCAACAUAAACAAAUUAUUAAUGUUAUUCUUUUUUCUCUUCACACCAAAAGAUAUCUGCAUUGCACAAUGACUCUUAUUAUUUUAUUUAAUAUCUUGGCACACUUGUGCAUGUGUACGAGUACGGUAUUUGAUUACCCAUGCAUGACUUUUUAGCAGUCAUCUGUUUCUGAACUGAAUACUAUGCUAAUAAAGAUAAGUAACAUAAAAAAGGGACUCUGGUUUUCUUUCAGGUUUGGAGAAUCAAUCAAUUCAUUGUGAAAACAUUUUUAAUUUCUUACAUAAGUUACUUUGAUCUUGAUAAGAUCAAAAUAGAUCCAAAUUAAAUUGAGGAGAUUAAAUUAUGCAGUCUAAUUCAUUUCAGCCAGUCUGUCUAAAAUCUGGUCCUAUUUUUCAGGCAAUAAUAAAUGAAUGAAAAUUUAAGAUAAAAUGUGAAUCAAUCAAUAUGCAUAUUUACAUUUAGUACUAACUACUAAAUGACUUUAUCGCGCGUAUCUAAACCAUUGGCUAAUUACGCCUGUAACCUAAUCACCCCUUGUAAUUGAAUCACCCCCGGGUCAGCACCCUGCACCAUGCCCCGGGCAAUAGAUCCCGUGCAAGCGUCAUGGACUGUGUGUAUUUAUGGACAAUUUAUUGCAUGCCCUGGCACUUGUUUUGCUCCAGUAAGGAUAUUAUCUCCACAGGCACGGGCAUACACAGCUCAGUGGCUCGUGCCUCUCCUUGGCAUAUCCCGGGAUAAUGACUGAAAUUUUCAGUCAAAAUACAUAUUGGGCCUGAUAAUAGACACUGACUGUAACAUAUGUAAGUAUAAUCUGUUACAUGAAAAAACAAAUAACAUAUAUAUAUCCCUUUAUCUACAUGGAAUGAUUGUGGGGUUCAGAUGGAAUUUAUUUAACCAUCAAAAGAUUUGAUGAUAAACUUUCUAAAUUCAUAUUUGCUAUAUGAUAAUAAUAUCUACAAAAUAUACUUUAUACUACAGAUGUCUUGAAGUAGUGUUGAAUGAAAAUCAGGAUACUUAGAUACAGCAGGAUAGUGUGUGGGUUUGUAUGGGAAAUAAUUUGUCAACAUAAAAAUAAAUAUAAUGUUACUAAAACAAGAAGAUAAAACUUUAGAUCUAUUUAUGCAUCAUACACAUUUUGUGGGGUAGUCAGUAUGAUUUGUUGUUUUUUGGGACAAAUCUCUGUAAUUAACUACUAUUUUAAGAGCAUGAGUAUCAGAAUUCUGUAAGAAAUGAUGGAUCAAUGAAUUAACACCUGUGAUGACUCAGAGCACUUAAUGGUGGGACACAUGUUAUAAGGGGCAGAAUAAUAUGGGUAAAUCUCUUAUUUCAAAGAAUGAUGACAAAUAUGUAUAUUGCAACUGAGUAACUGAGUGCUUAAUAGAUGCAUGGUAGAUGAUCAUUUGGCCUAUUUCUAAAAAAAUAAUAUAAAUUUAAAUAUUCAGAUGCAACUUUAAUUUUGAUAUAAAAAGUAACAUUUAAAAUCAGUUGUUUUAUUAUUUUGAACAUUCUUAAAAUAUUUGUAAAGGCACGGAUGUAUACUUACUAUAUGGAUCAUUGGUAAAGGCCUGUCAAAUAUGUCUGUGUGCUGCAAAUGUUGGCGUAUCACUAAUUUUAUUAAAUUGAAGUCCAUGGUAGUAUUUGUUGAGAUUUGAAUGCUUGAAUUGUUGUGGGAAAUAACACAAAGGCUGAUACAUAAAAUGAGUUUGCAUUAUUUCAUUGAUGCAAUAUGUAAGCCCAGACUGACAGAAAACUGACCUAGAAAAUACCGUGGCAAUAUACCAAUUUUCAUGAUGUUUUCCCCGCUAUAUUCCAUAGUGCCAAUUCGUCUUGUAGUUGAAGACUCAACAAAUGUUGAUAUUAUAAACUAAUAAUCACUACAAAAUAUGUGCUAGUUAGAAAUAUUCAGUUGUAAACGUUUUUGAAGGUGCAACAGGAAAACUCUUUAGCUUGGCUCGGUCUCUACAUGUCAGAGUUGAAUUAAGUGUGUCUUCUAAGUUAGUAAAUGUGGAAUUAGAUUUAAUUUUCUUUUUUAAUUUUUUCUUUUUAAUGCCACACUCAGCAAGAUUCCAGCUAUGACUGUGGUCUGUAAUAAUUGGCCAGACAAUCCAAUGAUUGAUAUCAUGAGCAUCGAUCCGAGCAAUUGUAAUAUGAUGACAUACAUCAAACAAGGCAGCAAGCCUGACCACGUCAUUCCAUUAGUCGCCUCCUUACGACAAGACCAUUUUUCAUGUGGCUGUUUCAAAUGCCAGUUUUUUUGCAAGUUAAGAUAUUUGGUAUAUAGAUGAGAUGAUCUUUAUAGCCAUGUUUUUGUGGGAUCGACGUUUUGUCACAGCGGUGAAUCAGACAAACAUUAUUAUGGCUACAAAUAUGCCUGACAUUUGGAACUUUUAAUUUUUAACAAGCUGUGAAACAGACGAACAUGGGUAUAGGUACAAAUAAGAUUUUGAAUUAUAUAAACAAAGUUUCUGAAAAAUAUGGGGAAAAACAUGAACAAACAAAUAUAUCAUUGGAAAAAAUCACUGAAAAUGUUGGUGAUAUGGGAGGAAGUUAACCUUCUUGUUGUCUUGAAAAAGAUGAACAAGUGUCACACAGUUGGCAACCCAAGAAAUAUAAAUGUUGGCUUAUUUGUCAUAAAAAUAAUGACAUUGUAAUUUUGCAAAAUAUUAAAAGAUGCAAGGAUUUCAGAUUUUCAACAAGUCCUCUUCACUGUCAACUACACAUCACUAUUUGUUUCCACAUUUGCCCUAUCAUCAGACCACUGCUCUUCCGUGUGCAAAGGCAGGAUAAUCCUCACUUCUUUCCAGACAUGAAUCAACUAGAGACAGAAAAUUAGGGAGGUGGGAGACAGUAUUAGAGGUAGUAUGCUUAGAAUUAUUAAUAAUGAUAACUAUUGUUUUGAUAAUUCUUGCGAAUCCUCUACCUCUAUUUCAUUAUUGCCCAACUAUACCAGAUAGAAAGGCAGGUUCUGCCUCAAGUUAACUCCCAGGAUUGUUGACAGGAAAUCCUGUAGACUCUUAUUACACUAUCUUUGAGACUGCUUCAGAUCCAAAGGAGAUGACUUCCAAACUAUUCACCUCAAAAUGACUUGAAAAUUGUGCAGUAGAAUAAUUAGUCCAUAUGUGAUAGCUUCCCUUGAAUUACCAUUAUGUUGCUGAUAUUCUUAUUAAUGAUUGUCUUUGAACCUUCAACAUUUUGACAACAUUUCCGGUUCCCUUAAUGUCAUUGAUGAUGUUAAGUCCGGUCCAUAUGAUGUCAAUGAUGAAGUCACUUCCUGUCCUCACAAUGCCAUUAAUGAUGUCACUUCUGGUCACAUUUCUCUUCCGAUUUUGACGUCAUUUCCGGUAAAUCUGUGAUACAUGUUGUUUGUUUGCUUAACCCUUUGGCCCCGACUGCCCGAUUUAUCGGGCAGCAUAAACCAUGGCCCAGUACACGGCUGCCCGAUAAAUCGGGCAGCUACUGUCCAAGUCCCACACACAGCUGCCCGAUAAAUCGUGCGGCACGAACGAGUUUACAAAAUCGCUCUUUCUACUGCCUUUAUCGUGUGUAAUCUCGUUCUAAAAAUAGAAACGAGAUCGACACGUAAUGACACAUCAUUCCAUGGAAUUUCCCAGUGUUUUUGGCGUGAAAAUUGCGGAUAUGUCACCUGUUUUCGCGACAGGUAUUUUUUCUUGCUUGAAUCGUAAAUCUAGGGUAAUGGCGGCCAACUACGUUUCGGAUAGCAAUCAGAUGACUAACAACGACUCUAUCGGGAAUAAUAAUGUGUUUGAUUUGAAUAAUUUACGCAAAGGGGAGAGGGAAUUUCGCAAAGAUUUUGGUGAAGAUUUUGACGGUUUUGACGAGGUGUUCCCCGCCAACUUUCAAGAAUGGGAGUGGCAGAGGGACCACAACGGUGGAGACAUGAGGGAUUUUGAAGAGGCAACCGGACUCAAGAAUACUCAUUGACACGGUGAGUGAAGAGUCGUGCUAUUGAUUUUUUCCAACUGUUUUACAAUGAUUCUGUGUUUAAACAACAACAACAAAGGUGAGUGGCAAGACCUAUCUCUUUUUUUUAAAAUUUAUUUUUCUGAUCGCAAUCCGAAUUGUAGUUUGCUGGUUUGUCGUAUGUCCUUGUAUUUCGCUCAAAUUGAAUAAAAUUUAUUUCCAUAUUCAUGUUCGUUUUCUUGUUUUUCACAUCUUUAAUUGAAAUUUUAGUAACUGUAAUAAUUAAUUAUUUAUUAAUUGAUUUAAUAAAGUACUGAUUUAAUUUAUUAUGCAAUUGUAAAUAGCAGUGUAUUGUUAAUAUGUUAUCACAACUUGUAUAUUUGCAGAACUUGAAUUUACGAUCUUUCUGUCCUUUUACAAUAUUUCCCUCCUUUCAGAUCAAUCUGUGAUAUCUUCCCUGUGAUGUCAUUCUUAUAGUAGCUGUGGUUCAAUGUUCAGAUGUGCAUUAAGAGAAUUUACCUUUAACACCUGGGAUUACCUGUGCCGUCCAAGAUGACAAGACCACCGUGUUAUGUUUACCUUGUAUCUGUGAUUUAUUUUUGUGAUUUUUAAUACAAUUUGAGCCAAAAUUCA
rnacentral:lncRNA from 1 species